CAGACGUAGCAAGAUGAUCUCUGAGGUUCAGUUUAUCUGGCUGUUAGUGCUCUGGAUCCAAGAUUCCAAUGGGCAGAUUGUGAUGACUCAGACUCCAGAAUCCCUGGCAGUAUCUCCUGGAGACACAGCCACUAUUCGCUGCAAAGCCAGUGCCAAUGCUUAUAGCAAUAUGGCCUUGUACCAACAGAAAUCAGGACAAGCUCCUAAGCUCCUUAUCUAUAGCGCUUCCACCCGUCCCUCUGGGAUUCCAGACCGGUUCAGCGGCAGUGGGUCGGGCACUGACUUCACUUUUACAAUCAGCCGGGUAGAAGCUGAUGAUGCUGGAGAUUAUUAUUGUCAACAAGAUCAAAGUUGGCCUCUCACAGUGAUACAGAGCAAUACAAAAACCUCCUUUCUGUUCCUCUUUCUAACAGCUGAUGUCUGUAGAAAGUCAAAGUAUCUCUCCAACUGCUCCUGUCUCAAAGAGAUGGAGUGUCCAUGA